AUUGAACGCUGGCGGCAGGCCUAACACAUGCAAGUCGAGCGGGUGAGAGGAGCUUGCUCCUCGAUUCAGCGGCGGACGGGUGAGUAAUGCCUAGGAAUCUGCCUAGUAGUGGGGGACAACGUUUCGAAAGGAACGCUAAUACCGCAUACGUCCUACGGGAGAAAGUGGGGGAUCUUCGGACCUCACGCUAUGAGAUGAGCCUAGGUCGGAUUAGCUAGUUGGUAGGGUAAAGGCCUACCAAGGCGACGAUCCGUAACUGGUCUGAGAGGAUGAUCAGUCACACUGGAACUGAGACACGGUCCAGACUCCUACGGGAGGCAGCAGUGGGGAAUAUUGGACAAUGGGCGAAAGCCUGAUCCAGCCAUGCCGCGUGUGUGAAGAAGGCCUUCGGGUCGUAAAGCACUUUAAGUUGGGAGGAAGGGCUCAUAGCGAAUACCUGUGAGUUUUGACGUUACCAACAGAAUAAGCACCGGCUAACUUCGUGCCAGCAGCCGCCGCAG
rnacentral:rRNA from 1 species